UACGUAGGGGGCAAGCGUUGUCCGGAAUCAUUGGGCGUAAAGCGCGUGUAGGCGGCUUGGCAAGUCGGAUGUGAAAGCCCACGGCUCAACCGUGGAAGCGCAUCCGAAACGGCCUCGCUCGAGUCUCGGAGAGAAAGGUGGAAUGCUUGGUGUAGAGGUGAAAUUCGUAGAUAUCAAGCAGAACACCUGCGGCGAAGGCGGCCUUCUGGACGAUGACUGACGCUGAGACGCGAAAGCGUGGGGAGCAAACAGG
rnacentral:rRNA from 1 species